GCUUGAUGAGCUGUCCUUUAGCCCUUGACCUGAGCGCAUGACGAGCCUCAGCCUGAUC
rnacentral:snoRNA from 1 species